rnacentral:lncRNA from 10 species
ACUGUUAACAUUCAGGAAAAAGGCCAUAGAAUUCUCUCUGGAGGAGUAGGAAUGACUGAACUCUGCACAGCAGAAUUUGUAUAAGAAUGUGAUGUUAGAUAACUACAGAAACCUGGUUUCCUAGGGUCUUAAAAUCUCUAAGCCAGACCUCAUCACCUGUCUGGAGCAAAUAAAAGAGCCAUGUAAUGUGAAGAGCCAUGAGACAUAGCCAAACACCCAGGAAUUUUC